GGCUGGUCCGAUGGUACUGCGUUAUCAGAACUUAUUAACAUUAGUGUCACUAAAGUAUUCAACCCCCCACUGCUAAAUCUGACUGGCUUAAA
rnacentral:Y_RNA from 1 species